rnacentral:rRNA from 1 species
CAGCAGCCGCGGGAAAACGGAGGGGGCUAGCGUUGUUCGGAAUUACUGGGCGUAAAGCGCACGUAGGCGGCUUGGUAAGUUAGAGGUGAAAGCCCGGAGCUCAACUCCGGAACUGCCUUUGAUACUGGGUGUCUUGAGUGUGGAAGAGGUCAGUGGAAUUGCGAGUGUAGAGGUGAAAUUCGUAGAUAUUCGCAGGAACACCGAUUGCGAAGGCAGCUUACCAAGGCAAAAUUGACGCUGAGGCACGAAAGCGUGGGGAUCGAACAGGAUUAGAUACCCCAGUAGUCCCUGUCUCUUAUAC